UUAACUAAAAUUUGUAUGGAGUUGGAACGUUAACUUACGUUUGCCGCUAGGGGCGCUGCUCCAACUGCAUACAAAUUUGAGUUA
rfam:Bombyx mori DNA, contig: Bm_scaf44_contig24531, strain: p50T/Dazao, build 2, whole genome shotgun sequence.